GAGGCGCGAGUGGCGCUUACGGGGCGAGGCGGCCGCCCGCGUUCCCGUGGCGACCGGGACGCUCCCGCUACGGCGGCCCCGAGGGGCCAAAAGCGGCGGCGGACGGCGUGGGCAGGAGCUGGCCCUGCACUGCCAGGCAGGACAGGAGCUGCGCUGAUCUCGGUGCGGUAUUUCAAGAGGACCCAGCCAUGCAUGGGACUGCCACAUGACACAAACACCACUUCCUCCUCCAGUUCUUCAGAUGCACGCAUGGGAUUUUUUGUAUGGUCGCAAAGAACAAGUCUGAGAGAAGUUUCUUCUUAGUCUGUAUUUGCCUAUUCAACAGUUACAAUACACCAAGAGUUCAUUUUAAAACAGUCAACUUUUAAAAUGCAUUAACACAGGUUUUAGCUUUUCAAAGAAAAGAGUUCGGUUUUUAAAAAAGAAGGGAGGUCAUAGAAAAGCACAAAACUCAGACAGGCUUAUUUACAACAGACAAACUUAGGAUAUUCAGGGUGAUUUUGUGUACAGACAACAUUCAUAAA